AACGAACGCUGGCGGCAUGCCUAACACAUGCAAGUCGAACGAGACCUUCGGGUCUAGUGGCGCACGGGUGCGUAACGCGUGGGAACCUGCCCUUAGGUUCGGAAUAACUCCCCGAAAGGGGUGCUAAUACCGGAUAAUGUCUUCGGACCAAAGAUUUAUCGCCUUUGGAUGGGCCCGCGUUGGAUUAGCUAGUUGGUAGGGUAAAAGCCUACCAAGGCGACGAUCCAUAGCUGGUCUGAGAGGAUGAUCAGCCACACUGGGACUGAGACACGGCCCAGACUCCUACGGGAGGCAGCAGUGGGGAAUAUUGGACAAUGGGCGAAAGCCUGAUCCAGCAAUGCCGCGUGAGUGAUGAAGGCCUUAGGGUUGUAAAGCUCUUUUACCCCGGGAUGAUAAUGACAGUACCGGGAGAAUAAGCGCCGGCUAACUCCGUG
rnacentral:rRNA from 1 species